CUUGUGUUAAGGGCAGACGGAAGAGCACCAUAAUUUUGCUAGUUUCGUCGGUUCAUUUUCUGUCGAACACGAGCAGACCACACCUACACAACAUAUAUUCGUACAAGAGUAAACCAACAACAUGGCGAGAACUUUAGCGGACAAACUGCAAGAGCUGGAGUUUCGUCUGGAAACGGGGGACGGUCCGGAGAGCGAGUACGGCAGAGCUCUGAGAGACGCCAUGGCCGACACGGACUCGCGUCUAGAGGCCGGGAGGCGCUCAAAUCUCUCGGCGACUUGCGUCUUGACAAAGAAAGACUCGCGAGGGAUUUUGAAGAAAUUAACAAGGUUAUAACACUUUACACGGCUGCCUGUCUGCGAUGUACGGAUCCGGAUCUCAGGGUAACGAUCCGACACCGUGUUCGGUAUUUGGAGACACUUGUUAAGAGAGAUCUUCCCACCUGUAGAUUAGAUAGAGUCCUACAGGAGAAAACCACAGGACAGGCGGAAGUUCCACAUAUUACUUCUUCUUUCUCUUUAAACAGUAUAACGAAGGUCGUUGAAAGGUGCUUGCAGUUGGACAAAGCCCAGAAUAGACACCGGAGUUACGUUUAUUCCUUGGAAGAGGAAUAUACCAAGGCGCUUGUGGAAGCGAUUGAGAACAGUGACGCCUUGUUGGAACUCGAGGUGACGAAAAGCCUCGGUGAUCUGUACCUGGAAGAGGGGAAAAACAGCUCCAGUAUGGACCUGCUGUCGAAAGCGAAGGGAAUGUACGAAACUGCCACAACAAGGUUUGAGGAACCAGAAGCGAAAGAUGUUCUAACACAUCGGGUUAAGUACGCGGAGAAGGUCAUGGAAGUAGUGAAACGGCGUAAUGAUAUGAGGACUAUGCAGACACGGGGAGAAGCAAAAGGGCGUGAAAACGUGAAAGAGGCUAAGGAUAUGAUAAUGCAAGGGGACGAGGCAUUGGAGAAUUGUGAUCUCGAAACGGCCGAGUGGCAGUUUGCUUCUGCGCUGAGACGUGUUCACUGUG